rnacentral:rRNA from 1 species
CUGCACCUCAAGUGGUCAGGAUGAUUAUUGGGCCUAAAGCAUCCGUAGCCGGCGCUGUAAGUUUUCGGUUAAAUCUGUACGCUCAACGUACAGGCUGCCGGGAAUACUGCAGCGCUAGGGAGUGGGAGAGGUAGACGGUACUCGGUAGGAAGGGGUAAAAUCCUUUGAUCUAUUGAUGACCACCUGUGGCGAAGGCGGUCUACCAGAACACGUCCGACGGUGAGGGAUGAAAGCUGGGGGAGCAAACCGGAUUAGAUACCCGUGUAGUCC